rnacentral:lncRNA from 1 species
CCGUGAAUGUUGUGUGAAUUUGAUCGUACUAUUUUAUAAUUACUGGUAUUACCAAUUUGAUCGAUCUCUCAAGUAAGUCGAUAAUUUCAGAAUAUUUCAAUGUAUAGGUAGCAGGAACUUUAAGAACUUUCCAGUUUACGUAAUGGAGCUUAUCUAUACGGCUCUCACAUUAGAGCAGAUAAGCUAUUCGUGUUCCAUCCUUACUAUGUUUCACUAUUUGCAAGAGUUGUUAUUUAAUUGCAGUGCAGUGUCAAAAAAAUCCUCCGUUGAAUAUUCCUUUAUAAAUAUUAUGGGACCCAUGGUGAAUGUUUCCUAGAAGAUAGCAGAAAAUAUGGGUAGAGACGAUUCUGUUUUUCUUAACAACUUCAAAAAUGCUUUCAGGAAGGCAGAUAUCUUAAUCAAUGGCACACGCCCGUGGGAUUUUAAGAUUGUUUUGCAAGCAGAACUUUCACCAGCCCCCCAAAAUGACAUCGGCACUGCCGACUACGGCCCGCCUCACGACUUCGGGACCCCCGAAACAACAGGCUAUCGUCCACCUCCUCCGCCUCAGUUCAUGGUUUCACAAGAUAUGGUCAACCAAUCACUACCACCUCCACCUCCAGACAUGAGACCUCCAGACGAUCCAUCAUCGGAUUCACCAAUGGGCCCUCCACCGGACGCUAUGAUGGCACAAUCCAUGGGACCUCCGAUCGAUGCCAUGUCAGGUCAAUCAAUGGGAGCUCCGUUUGCUGCCAUGAUGGGUCAAUCAAUGGGACCACCCCGGGCCCGCCAAGAGGUCCACCACGAGGUCCACCCGGAAGACCACCUCCAGGAGGUUUCCGCCCUGGGCGUGGCCCUCCAACUCCGCCCGGUAUGCAAUUUACCGGGGUUUCCAAGAUUCCUCUGAGUUCCCAGGGGAAGAUGCGAACGGGGGUUUUUCGGGACCUCCACCACCGAUGGACUUUCAAGGGGGCCAGUUUCGAGGUGGGUUUCCCGGAGACCAACCCAACGGCCGUAUACCUCAUGGACCAGGCGGGAAAAUGUUCAUGGGCCCCUCAAGACCCGGGCACAAACUAGGCGCGGGCUCCGGAAUGGGGUCCGCAUUUCGAGGUAGAAACCGAUACAGGCCGAUGGGUCCCCCACCAGAUCGUCCCGGGGGGCGUAGGUUUGGGGUGGUGGAAGGGGAAGGUUUCGGGGCUUUUGAAGUUAGUUAGCCAGAAUAAAUAUAGUAUAUUUUUUUGAAAAUUGAUUUUGAGUUGUGAACUGCCUCCUGUCAUGAGUUUUGAAGUAUCUGUUGAGUUCUUGUUAGUCAUCACUGGAGACCACUAAAGUUUGGCAAAAAAGUCUUCCUACAAGAAUUUCUUACUGUUAGUGAUAGAAGUUUGAAUAUUUUCCUGUUCUCUUAAUACUUCACUUCAUAUUAUACUUGCUUAACCAAUCACCUUAUAUUUUAUCUAACGUUUUAUUUUCCCAGUAUUAUGUCCCUUGGUAUGGCAACGAUUGUGAAAAAGUAAUCCUCAAAAACCUUUAGGAAGGUGUAAAAAGUGAAGAGGAAAAUCUAUCCAGGAAAAGAAAUUUUUCGAAUAAAAUUAAAUAUUCAUAUUUAUGUGAAACAGCAAUCCCCUUCAAAAAUAUUUAAACAUCUUUGUAGGCGUUGAAAACUACAAUUAACUUCUUUAAAUUUUUGCAAGACUUUAUUUCACUAGUUACAUUUAAUAUUUCCUUGUGUACACGGUAAAAAAAUUUGCAGCGAUAUCCGCAUCCCGCAAUUUUCAGCAGCUGGAGCCGAGAUUUGCGGUCCCUGCUUCCGAAUAUUUGCAGAAUUGUUGAAUGCUCGGUAGAACUAUGCUGGGCUUUCGGCAGUUCUGACAAUUUCGGUAGCCGGGACCGCAAAUCUCAGCUCCAGCUGCCAAAAAUUUCCUAGGUGCGGAUAUAGCCGCAAAAUUUUUUACCGUGAUACCUCUUAAAAUAUUUUCCCACCUCCAUUCUGAAUAGUUCUCUGUUCACCUAUCUACAGAGGUAUAUGUAUCCCAAGAGAUAAGUUUCGUUUAACGUGCACAACACUCAUACAAUUACUUCGCACAAACUGCUCACGUUCUUGAUACGGCAGAGCUUCGGGGAAUAUUAUCGCUGAAGCCAAACGAUCGAGUUGAUCACGACGGCUAGACUGUAUGAUGCAGAGAGGAAAAUGCAUUGCAAUAUUGCUAUACUUGGAUAAAGCUUCGUCAGUAAUAAAUGAAUAUAAAGUAGAUCAAUAAAUGGAAUAAAUGGAUUCGUAGCUUUCUCAAUUUAUUCACAUUUUUGUAUAGCGUACAAAACUGGUUAAAUUUUUAGGUUUUGCUUGCAAGAUACGAGAGAUGGCACUAUCUUAAUGGUAUUGCAGUGCUAUUGGUUCUUUUUUGCUAAAUGCAGUUUCAUUGAUUGCAUCCAUCAUUUUAUCAUCAACAAUAAAUUGAUCAGCGACUAAUGAGAAUCAGGGCGAAGAAGGCUGCCAGUGUGGCUGGCCUGAUGCCCGCUGUCACAGCUCCGCACAGUGGAACGUGUCAAAGCAAAAAAUUAGACAUGGUGUGAAAAUUUUAAAAGCGUAUACCUUCAUGAACACAAAACUUAGAAGCUUAGAGGUGAUUCUACUGGUUUUCUUAAGGAUUUUCCUUGAAGAGGCUAUAUUUAAAAUUUAUAUUGUGAUAAAAUACACAUCAAAAUAUACAGAUUUAAUUGAAAUUGUAUGUCCGACCUCUCUGGAUGGCUUGUUCAACUGUGCGCCGCUGCGAUUUCUGCCUUAGCAACGAUGAGUCGUGGCCAUUUAAAUUCAAGGUAGGCGAUACACCACCCCUCCUCUUCCUAAACCAUUCAUGUUCGCCGGCGUCCACUCCGGUAGAGGCGAAUUUUCUCACAAGUUUCUCACGCCUGUCACACCGACACUAGUGAUUUCCUACCGCUGCCAAUGAAUCCACGGAAAUGAUCCGGUAACUACUCAAAAGGUGCGUUGUAAAAUUAGCUGUACAGUUACUUUCCGAAAAUUUUCUUAAUUUUUUUACAUGUUUUCAUCUAAACGUUUUUGAAAAUCGUCGAAAGGUUUUUCUCAAAUUCCAGAAAGGAAAAUUGACAUGAGAAAAUGUCCCUACUACGUAUCAAAAUGCCUCAGCAACUGAGUUCGUAAUAUUGUUAACAAUUUUUUUUUCACGGGGGCAAUUUCGGAAGAAAAGAUUGAGAGAAAAUGUGUUCCCUUUUACCAUCAUAAGGGGCAUUUCUCAUGUAAGAACUUGUAUUUAUGACAUAGAUCAUCCAAGAAUUGUUGAAUGUACAAGCUAGGGAUAUUCGUGUGCUGAAUUAAUUCGGUAGUUUCUUAUAUAAAUAAAUGAAAUCUAUCGAAUUAUAAACACCUGGAACUUCUCAAUUAAAUUUUGUAGCUUAUUGAAGUAAGAAUCCCAUAUUGGCCUCAUUUGAGUUUUGAAAUAAUCCUUAGACGUAGGUGUACGGGAAUAAAAUGAUAUAUUCACUCAGAAACUUAAAUUUUAUCUUAUAAAAAUGUGUUUAUUUUCUCUUUAAAAAUGGUAAGUGAGUCAACCACACUGUGAAUCUCAGGAAUUGUUUCCCCUUCAUAGGAUGAUAGUCUCUAUGUAACGUUAACAUUGCAUUUCUUGCCACCAGAGGAUUUUCGACGAGUUUAUUUGAGGUGAGAAAAAAUAUUGUUCUUUCAAAGUGCUUUCAAAAAUGCUCAAAACAAUGGCGUAUACAAGGGGGGGGGGACAGGAGGUCUGAACCCUCCCCCCCCCCAUAGCCUCGUUAAUCGUACUUUUUUUUUGGAGGGCAGACAUAAAAUAUUAUCAGGGACGUACACAAAAUAAUGUAAAUUUACCCCCCCCCCCCUUAAAGAAUUCCUAGUCACGCCACAAGGGAGAAAUACGUGAUCAUUUCUUCUGACGAUUUCAAAAAUAAAGCCCAAAAAACCAAAAAAUUUACACGUGCUCUUGACGUUAAACCUUUCACUACUAUAAUGUACAAUUUUUUCAAUUACUUAUAAUUCUCAUUUUAAAUUUGAAAUUACUGUAAAAGGUAUUCUGGCAAAGCACAAAAAUCCACUGUCCGCAUCUAAAAAGCUGGAAAAAUAUUGUGUGAUUAGAAUAGGGAUUAAAAUAAUUUUACUUUCGCCUUUUUUCGCUUUUCGCUCAGGCGUGGACAAGAAAAUGAUUUUCAAAGAGAGUAUUUGCCAUCUUUCAGACUUUAAUAAAAUUAUACAUUUUUUUUAAAGUUUGCUAUGAUACUACGCACAUAGUCAAAAGCAUUGAUUUGCUGUACAUGAGGAGGGAGGGAGGGCGAAUUGUUUCCGUCCGGAAAUCAGCGAACAAAAGUUUUUAAUCAGCAAGUAAUCAGCAAUGCAGCCGAGGGAGUUCUCUCUGUAGUCAUUAGACGCUAUAGUACUUAACGUUCGACCUCUUAACCUCCUGCAGGGCCCAUAGUGCGCCCAACUGUGAAUCACUCAAUGAACAAAACAAUUUUCAUAUCCUAACCGAGGACUUUGUAGAGAGCACGCUAGGUAACUCUAACAUCCUGAUGGGCUCAUUAUUGCUUUUCUUUGUUUUUAAGCGAUUUGUCGAGUACCUCUUCAUAGUUCAUGGUUGAUCCCAAAAAUGAUCUCCGGUAGAGGAGAUCAUUCACUUUUUUCUAGAAAUCUGACUAUAUUAAGCGGCUACUUAGGUUCACAAUAUUUUAGGGAAAGUGCAGGGACAUUUUAAGUACCAGUUCUACUCGUGGACUCCCUUCCUCUUACUAUACAAAUAAAUUUAAAGGUGAGAGAGACACUAACGUAAACUCCAAAUUAUCUCCCAAAGAAGUCAAGAAUUUUAUUUGACCUAUCUGCAAACCGGAUCUUUCAGAAAAUUAAAAAAAAUCGUUGAACACAUAUGCGCUUAAAGUCAUUGAUGUAAAUACAUAUUCUUUAGAUAGGCAGUUCAUCUAUUUUUCUAUGUGAACAUUGCCAUAGUGUGCGAAUAACUGUAUUUUCUAUUUAUGCAUGGUCCUGUCUGUUUGAAAUUCGUGAUGGACAUGGAGAUGAGGAAAAAAAUAAUUUCUUGUGGAUUAUUCAUGCUAAGAUGAGUUCAUUCAGGGAAGGUUCACGAAAAGUUUAUUCAUCUGAAUUUCGGUUCAUUACAAUACAAAUUUACCGCAAUCCCUAUUUUCGUUUUAAUUGGUCAAAUACCGAUUUGACCAUUCACACCGCAAAGGCAUUAAUGUCGUCUGAAUCUUUCCUUUUGGAUUUAAAGUGACUGUGAUUAUUCGAAAAAACGUGCAUAAAUAACAUAUUUGUGAUAACAUCUGUACUAAAGUAACUUAAGAAUAUUAAUGAUAGUUCGAAUAUAUAUAUAUAUAUAUAUCGAGCCGCUACCUUAGCGCACUAGAGCGCUCUGCGACUCCAAAUCG